UGGGUAACCUGCCUCGAUGACCGGGACAACCCGGGGAAACCCGGGCUAAUACCGGAUGUGCUCCUUCACAUCAGUGAAGACAGGAAAGGAAGCUUCGGCCUCCGCAUCGAGAUGGGCCCGCGGCCCAUUAGCUUGUCGGUGAGGUAACGGCUCACCAAGGCGACGACGGGUAGCCGGUCUGAGAGGAUGGCCAGCCACAUUGGGACUGAGGUACGGCCCAGACUCCUACGGGAGCAG
rnacentral:rRNA from 1 species